rnacentral:rRNA from 1 species
AUUGAACGCUGGCGGCAGGCCUAACACAUGCAAGUCGAACGAGUGGCGGACGGGUGAGUAAUGUCUGGGAAACUGCCCGAUGGAGGGGGAUAACUACUGGAAACGGUAGCUAAUACCGCAUACCAUCGGAUGUGCCCAGAUGGGAUUAGCUAGUAGGUGGGGUAACGGCUCACCUAGGCGACGAUCCCUAGCUGGUCUGGGAGGAUGACCAGGCAAACUGGAACUGGGGCACGGGCCAGACUUCUACGGGAGGGAGCAGGGGGGAAUAUUGCGCAAUUGGCGCAAGGCUGAUGCAGCCAUGCCGCGUGUAUGAAGAAGGCCUUCGGGUUGUAAAGUACCUUUAGCGAGGAGGCGUUACUCGAAGAAGAAGCACCGGGUAACUCCGUGCCAGCAGCCGGGGUAAUUCC